GACGAACGCUGGCGGCGCGCUUAACACAUGCAAGUCGAGCGAGAACCAGGGCUUCGGUCCUGGGGACAGCGGCGAACGGGUGAGUAACACGUGGAUAACCUGCCCUCGGCACCGGGAUAGCCCGGGGAAACCCGGAUUAAUACCGGAUGGCCCUUCCGGCUCACCAGCCGGUCGGAAAAGGUAGCUUCGGCCUCCGGCCGAAGAUGGGUCCGCGGCGGAUUAGCUUGUUGGUGGGGUAACGGCCUACCAAGGCUCCGAUCCGUAGCUGGUCUGGGAGGACGAUCAGCCACACUGGGACUGAGACACGGCCCAGACUCCUACGGGAGGCAGCAGUGGGGAAUCUUGCGCAAUGGGCGAAAGCCUGACGCAGCGACGCCGCGUGAGGGAGGAAGGCCUUCGGGUUGUAAACCUCUUUCAGGAGGGACGAAGCUACUCGGGUGAAUAGCCCAGAGGGUGACGGUACCUCCAGAAGAAGCCCCGGCUAACUACGUGCCAGCCGCCGCCGUAAGAC
rnacentral:rRNA from 1 species